rnacentral:rRNA from 1 species
AGUGAACGCUGGCGGUAGGCCUAACACAUGCAAGUCGAACGGCAGCACAGUAAGAGCUUGCUCUUACGGGUGGCGAGUGGCGGACGGGUGAGGAAUACAUCGGAAUCUACUUUUUCGUGGGGGAUAACGUAGGGAAACUUACGCUAAUACCGCAUACGACCUACGGGUGAAAGCAGGGGAUCUUCGGACCUUGCGCGAUUGAAUGAGCCGAUGUCGGAUUAGCUAGUUGGCUGGGUAAAGGCCCACCAAGGCGACGAUCCGUAGCUGGUCUGAGAGGAUGAUCAGCCACACUGGAACUGAGACACGGUCCAGACUCCUACGGGAGGCAGCAGUGGGGAAUAUUGGACAAUGGGCGCAAGCCUGAUCCAGCCAUACCGCGUGGGUUAAGAAGGCCUUCGGGUUGUAAAGCCCUUUUGUUGGGAAAGAAAAGCAGCAGGUUAAUACCCCGCUGUUCUGACGGUACCCAAAGAAUAAGCACCGGCUAACUUCGUG